rnacentral:tRNA from 1 species
GGGGCAGUAGCUCAAAUGGGAGAGCGCCAGACUGAAGACUCCAGGACUCGAACGAGUCCACUGAUAUCUGGAGGCACUCGGUUCGAUCCCGAGCUGCCCCA